GCUGCCUUUUUUUUUCUUUCGUGGACCCACGACGAUUUGUCGGGUCCCUUAUUCUGCGCGCCACAGAGACCAAAGGCUGUGAUUGCAUGUUUUUUUCAUUGGUCAGAUCGCAUCAACCGGCUAUCCUUUUUCUCUCGGCCACAGGAAAAAGGCACCCGACCUCGACUCUGGUCGGCAUGACGGCGGGGUAAAUGGUUGGCCCCCGCAAAUCGCACGACCAAUCGAUGAGGACAAAGGAAAAAAAAGAGGGAAGAGAACAACGGGAAAAGAGGUCGGGCAGAGACCGAGCGCAACCGACCCGCAUUCGGCUUGGCGCUCGCGCCUCCUCCCGAGUCACAAAAAGGACAGCGCAUCGGUCCGCCUCCCCACCUCCCGCCCGCCAGUUCCGAAUCUGUCCGCGCAUUCGUCGGCUCUGGCGCGCUUUCUCCCUGCAGACUUUGCCGGUUCUUUCAAAAAAAACCGGCAAUAAAGACGGCCAUCUCUGCACAAAAAAGAAACUAUCAAAAAAAAAUACUUUCUCGCAUACUUUUUCUCGUGCGACGAGAACAAAAAGGACCGCUCCCUUGUCGUGUGCCGGUGGUCGCCCGCAAAGCAGCG
rnacentral:lncRNA from 1 species